AGUGAACGCUGGCGGUAGGCCUAACACAUGCAAGUCGAACGGCAGCACAGUAAGAGCUUGCUCUUACGGGUGGCGAGUGGCGGACGGGUGAGGAAUACAUCGGAAUCUACUUUUUCGUGGGGGAUAACGUAGGGAAACUUACGCUAAUACCGCAUACGACCUACGGGUGAAAGCAGGGGAUCUUCGGACCUUGCUCGAUUGAAUGAGCCGAUGUCGGAUUAGCUAGUUGGCGGGGUAAAGGCCCACCAAGGCGACGAUCCGUAGCUGGUCUGAGAGGAUGAUCAGCCACACUGGAACUGAGACACGGUCCAGACUCCUACGGGAGGCAGCAGUGGGGAAUAUUGGACAAUGGGCGCAAGCCUGAUCCAGCCAUACCGCGUGGGUGAAGAAGGCCUUCGGGUUGUAAAGCCCUUUUGUUGGGAAAGAAAAGCAGCAGGUUAAUACCCCGCGGUUCUGACGGUACCCAAAGAAUAAGCACCGGCUAACUUCGUG
rnacentral:rRNA from 1 species